UUACAAUAAGUAAUGAGGUGGUUGAUUAUGGUUAUCCUUUUACCCCCUGAAGGAGGGAAAGUUAGUUCAAAGAUGAGUACCAACAUCCAUUGCUUGACGUUUUGCAUGCUUUGCAGAAAAUAAAUCAGACCGGGAUCAAUUUUUGAAGCUUUGCAAGAGAAUCGAGUACACAAUUCGAGCUUGGUAUCUGAUACAAUUUGAAGAUUUGAUGGUAAGUACAAGUUUUCUUGUUAUCUCGAAUACUUAUUACUCCGUACCAGAUAGCCGAUACGUAAUCUUAAUGCUUAGCUCAAUUUAUUGAUCUAAUUUCCCUAUACUACGUAUAUGCAGCAUCUGCACUCUCUUUGACCCUAUCCAUGGGGCAGAGAAAUUGGAGCAGCAGAACUCCCGAGGAAAUUGAUGUUCUUGAACAGAACUUCCUUACUUACAUAUUCCAGAUAAUGGACGAGCAAUUUCAAGAUGACAACUGACGAAGAAAUUAAUCCUGUAGCUUCUGCCCAAUAUCUGUUUGCUCUUCCUAUCAAAGUUGAUAAAUCUAAGGACGACCACACAUCAAUGGCAUGACGAGGAACCAAAACGUUAGAGAACGUUUCUUAACUACCACAGAUAUGCUGAUUAGGCAGUUCAGAGGAUACAGUACAGAUCCGUGUUCCCACGUCC